rnacentral:rRNA from 1 species
CCUACGGGAGGCAGCAGUGGGGAAUAUUGCACAAUGGGGGAAACCCUGAUGCAGCGACGCCGCGUGAGUGAAGAAGUAUUUCGGUAUGUAAAGCUCUAUCAGCAGGGAAGUAGCACGACGGUACCUGACUAAUAAGCCCCGGCUAACUACGUGCCAGCAGCCGCGGUAUUACGUAGGGGCCAAGCGUUAUCCGGAUUUACUGGGUUUAAAGGGAGCGUAGACGGUAUGGCAAGUCUGAAGUGAAAGCCCAGGGCUUAACCCUGGGACUGCUUUGGAAACUGUUAGACUAGAGUGCAGGAGAGGUAAGUGGAAUUCCUAGUGUAGCGGUGAAAUGCGUAGAUAUUAGGAGGAACACCAGUGGCGAAGGCGGCUUACUGGACAGUAACUGACGUUGAGGCUCGAAAGCGUGGGGAGCAAACAGGAUUAGAUACCCUAGUAGUC